rnacentral:rRNA from 1 species
AUUGAACGCUGGCGGCAGGCCUAACACAUGCAAGUCGAGCGGAUGAAGGGAGCUUGCUCCUGGAUUCAGCGGUGGACGGGUGAGUAAUGCCUAGGAAUCUGCCUGGUAGUGGGGGAUAACGUCCGGAAACGGGCGCUAAUACCGCAUACGUCCUGAGGGAGAAAGUGGGGGAUCUUCGGACCUCACGCCAUCAGAUGAGCCUAGGUCGGAUUAGCUAGUUGGUGGGGUAAAGGCCUACCAAGGCGACGAUCCGUAACUGGUCUGAGAGGAUGAUCAGUCACACUGGAACUGAGACACGGUCCAGACUCCUACGGGAGGCAGCAGUGGGGAAUAUUGGACAAUGGGCGAAAGCCUGAUCCAGCCAUGCCGCGUGUGUGAAGAAGGUCUUCGGAUUGUAAAGCACUUUAAGUUGGGAGGAAGGGCAGUAAGUUAAUACCUUGCUGUUUUGACGUUACCAACAGAAUAAGCACCGGCUAACUUCGUG